GUGCCAGCCGCUGCGGUUAGACCAGAAGAGGACUGGAGAUUAUUGGUUUGUAGUUAUGAAUAAGGAUUAUGCGUGUUUGCUGUAUUUGUAGCUAUCGCGGGAGGUGGAAUUCGAUGAUCAGGUUUGCUGUGAACAAUUUUAGUCCGAUUUAGAGGCUAGCAAGGCGUAGGUUAAGACUAGGAUUAGAUACCCUAUUAUACUAGGCAUAAACAAUAUCCAAGCUUGAGGAGUAGUAGUUAAGUUCUUGAAAUUUAGAGGAUUUGGCGGCAAUCCACCCUAGUCAGAGGAACCUGUGCCUUAAUACGAUAUGCCACGAAGUAUCUUACUUUAUCUUGUUUUCAGCCUGUAUACCUCCAUUUAGUUAUUAUUUCUAGAUAAAUAACUCAAUAAAGGUUAAUUCCCUUAGCAAAUUAGGUCAAGGUGCAGCCUAUGGUAAAGUGGACAUGUGUUACAUUGCUGUUUGCGCUUGAAUGUCUUGUUGGUGUUCUAUGUGGAAGUGUUCUUGAAAAGGAACUUUGAAAUAGUAUUUGAUUGUAAGCUUAUUUUAAUAAGGUAAGUUGACAGAGUUUUGGAAUGUGUACAAAUCGCCCGUCGCUCUCGAACAGUCGAGAUAAGUCGUAACAAAGUAGGA
rnacentral:rRNA from 1 species